rnacentral:rRNA from 1 species
UGGGGAAUAUUGGACAAUGGGCGCAAGCCUGAUCCAGCAAUCCUGCGUGAAGGAUGAAGCUUUUAGGAGUGUAAACUUCUUUUUUGGUGGAAGACGAAUGACGGUACACCAAGAAUAAGAGACGGCUAACUACGUGCCAGCAGCCGCGGUAAUACGUAGGUCUCAAGCGUUAUCCGGAUUUACUGGGUGUAAAGCGUCUGUAGCCUGAUAUAUAAGUCUGUUUUCAAAAACCCUGACUCAAUCAGGGGAAGGGAAUAGAUACUGUAUAACUAGAAGUCAUUAGAGGUUAGUAGAAUUUCCGGUGAAGCGGUGAAAUGUGUUGAUAUCGGAAGGAAUGCCGAAAGCGAAAGCAGCUAACUAUAGUGAACUUGACGGUGAGAGACGAAAGUUUGGGGAGCAAACGGG